rnacentral:rRNA from 1 species
UACAGAGGUCUCAAGCGUUGUUCGGAUUCAUUGGGCGUAAAGGGCGCGUAGGCGGCCUGGCAAGUGACGGGUGAAAGCCCUCGGCUCAACCGAGGAACUGCCUGUCAUACUGCCGGGCUUGAGUCCGGGAGAGGUGAGUGGAAUUCCCAGUGUAGCGGUGAAAUGCGUAGAUAUUGGGAGGAACACCAGUGGCGAAGGCGGCUCACUGGACCGGAACUGACGCUGAGGCGCGAAAGCGUGGGGAGCGAACAGG